CAAUAGCGUAUAUUAAAGUUGUUGCGGUAAAAAAGCUCGUAGUUGGAUUUCUACCGAAGAUAGCCGGUCGGGUCUUCGACCUUGUAUCUGGUUUUGUCUUUGGUAUCCUCAUAGGGAACGUUUCUGCGCUUUAUUGCGUGGUGCGGUAUCUAUGACUUUUACUUUGAGGAAAUUAGAGUGUUCACGGCAGGCAAACGCCUUGAAUAUAUUAGCAUGGAAUAAUAACAUAGGAUCUUCGUCCUAUUUUGUUGGUUUCUAGGGCUAAGAUAAUGAUUAAUAGGGAUAAUUGGGGGCAUCUGUAUCAACGCGUCAGAGGUGGAAUUCUUGGAUUGCGUUGCGACAAACUACUGUGAAAGCAUUUGCCAAGGAUGUUUUCAUUGA
rnacentral:rRNA from 1 species